UACGGAGGGUGCGAACGUUAAUCGGAAUCACUGGGCGUAAAGCGCGCGUAGGCGGUCUGUUAAGUGGGAUGUGAAAUCCCCGGGCUUAACCUGGGAAUUGCAUUUCAAACUGGCCGACUAGAGUACGGUAGAGGGAGGUAGAAUUUCCUGUGUAGCGGUGAAAUGCGUAGAUAUAGGAAGGAAUACCAGUGGCGAAGGCGGCCUCCUGGAUCGAUACUGACGCUGAGGCGCGAAAGCGUGGGGAGCGAACAGG
rnacentral:rRNA from 1 species